CAAUAGCGUAUAUUUAAGUUGUUGCAGUUAAAAAGCUCGUAGUUGGAUUUCGGGUGGGACGCAGCGGUCUCGCAUUGCGUUUGUACUGCUGCAGCCCUCCUUCUUGCCGGGGGCGGCCUCUCGGACUUCACUGUCUGGGGGUCAGAAUCGGCGAUGUUACUUUGAGUAAAUUAGAGUGUCCAAAGCAAGCUUACGCUCUGAAUAUAAUAGCAUGGGAUAACACGACAGGACUCUGGCCUAUCGUGUUGGUCUAUAGGACCAGAGUAAUGAUUAAGAGGGACAGUCGGGGGCAUUCGUAUUCCGUUGUCAGAGGUGAAAUUCUUGGAUUUACGGAAGACGAACAUCUGCGAAAGCAUUUGCCAAGGAUGUUUUCAUUGA
rnacentral:rRNA from 1 species